rnacentral:rRNA from 1 species
GAUGAACGCUGACAGAAUGCUUAACACAUGCAAGUCUACUUGAUCCUUCGGGUGAAGGUGGCGGACGGGUGAGUAACGCGUAAAGAACUUGCCUUACAGACUGGGACAACAUUUGGAAACGAAUGCUAAUACCGGAUAUUCUGCUUCUGCCGCAUGGUGGGGGUUGGAAAGAUUUUUUUUGGAUGGGGAUGGGCUCACGGCCUAUCAGCUUGUUGGUGGGGUGAUGGCCUACCAAGGCGUCGACGGGUAGCCGGCCUGAGAGGGUGACCGGCCACAUUGGGACUGAGAUACGGCCCAG